rnacentral:rRNA from 1 species
GACGAACGCUGGCGGCGUGCUUAACACAUGCAAGUCGAACGGACAGGCCCUGCGUUUGCGGGGUGGUCGAUUGGCGAACGGGUGAGUAACACGUGUGUAACCUGCCCCUGUCUUUGGGAUAACUUCAGGAAACUGGGGCUAAUAUCGGAUAGGAUCUCCUGCUGCACGGUGGGGGUUGGAAAGUUUCGGCGGUUGGGGAUGGAUUCGCGGCUUAUCAGCUGGUUUGGGGGGUAGUGGAUUACCAAGGGUUUGACGGGUAGGCGGCAUGAGAGGGUGACCGGCGACAUGAGGACUGAGAGAGGGCGCAGAAGGCAAUGGGACGCAGUAGUCGGGAAUAUUACAGAAUGGGCGGAAGUGUGAUGUAGCAGCGCCGCGUGCGGAAUGCCGUCUUUUGGGUUGUAAACCGCUUUCGCCUGUGACGAACCGUGAUUGACGGUAAUGGGUAAAGAAGCACCGGCUAACUACGUG